CUCGACCACUGAGCCACAUCCCCAGCCCUAUUGUAUUUUUGCUUAGCACCUCCCUUUGCUGAGGCUGGCUUUGAACUCGUGAUCUUCCUGCCUCAGCUUCCCGAGCUGCUGGGAUUACAGGUGUGCACCACCAUGCCUGGACCCUAUCUGUUUGUUUUUACCCAUUCGUCAGUCAUUUAUAGGUUUAUUCAAUCAUUUGUUGAACCAAAAUUUUCUGGGCUCUCUCUGCAUGUAGGUGUGGCAUGGACACAGGAUACAGAGUUGAAGGGAGAUGCCCUAGGCCUGUGGGGGGUGCAUGGCACCUUUUUCACCCUGCUUCUGGCCCUACCUUCUGGAGGGACUCUAGUAAGUCAUGCUAGUGCUCUAAUCUACUUAAUGGGUGAGGUUUGGUCUAGAGGAGCUCUUAGGGUCCUACCAGAGGCAGUGACCUAGGCUUCCAAAAGAGGGCUGGUGGCUGAGGUUGAAGGCUGGGCCCAUGGGCACACAGUUCCAUUCAAAGCGAGGGUCCCUCCUCCCAGCUGUCUUCCGACCCUUCUAGCUCCCAAAGACCUGCUCAGUCCUGUUCUACCCUCAGCCUGGAUUCUUCUGAGCUAUGCCUACCAACUUGAAAGUCCUCAAUACUUAUUUUAAAAAUCAUUUUCCAGUUAUUUUAUAUAGCAUAAGAAAUAUACAAAUACAUUGUCAUUAUUUUAAAAAAACUCAAAAUAAAAAAAAAAGAGACAAACUCCCCUCUUGGUUCUCCCAAUAUCAACCACCUUCUUGAGAACACCUUUGAUCAUUUCUUAAGUUUCCACACCUUAAAAUUUGCGUUUACAUUUGCAUAUUUUGUUUCCAGUUUUUGUGAGGUUGUUAACAUUAAUGUCAUAAUGUUUAGAUGUGCUUUUCACUGAACAGCACCUUGGAAAUAUUUCAGUGCCAACACUGUCGAGAUAUUAUUUUAUAUGUCAUGUGUGCACAUGUUAUAACAUAAUACGGCACAAAGUGCCAUGUAUGCUACUGGCUACCUUGCACACCAGGGCAGGGACACUCUGCCCUUAGUGAGGGAGCUGUGGAAUAUUCCAGAGUCUCACCAUUAUAGACAAUGCUCCAGGGGAUGUUUUCGCAUAUCACUCUUUGUGUAAUGUGCAAAUAUUUCUCUGGGGUAUAAACUCAGAAUAAC
rnacentral:lncRNA from 1 species